rnacentral:rRNA from 1 species
GGUUAAGCGACUAAGCGUACACGGUGGAUGCCCUGGCAGUCAGAGGCGAUGAAGGACGUGCUAAUCUGCGAUAAGCGUCGGUAAGGUGAUAUGAACCGUUAUAACCGGCGAUUUCCGAAUGGGGAAACCCAGUGUGUUUCGACACACUAUCAUUAACUGAAUCCAUAGGUUAAUGAGGCGAACCGGGGGAACUGAAACAUCUAAGUACCCCGAGGAAAAGAAAUCAACCGAGAUUCCCCCAGUAGCGGCGAG